rfam:Stegodyphus mimosarum contig77297, whole genome shotgun sequence.
GCCUUCGUGGUGUAGUGGUCAGCACGCUGGACGCGCAUUCCAGAGAUCCGUGGUUCGAGUCCCGGCGAAGGCG